CAAAUUAUCCUACGGCUCGCUAGAGUAUUCAAGUGGUGCUCCGAGUACGAAUUCUGUCAGUUUAGGUGGAAGUUGAUCGAUGGGUAGUGUUGAAGUUGAGACACACAACCGCAGGGUCUCCAGCAGACAUCGAGGAUGAUGUGCCCAAUAGAUGAUGACCCAAGGGUCCUGAUAUGGGGAUAUGACAGGAGACGUGAUUGAUAUACCGAUAUAUUUAAUUGAUGGCAUCGGCUCAUUCGGAAAUGUCCAUCAUCAUGAAGAUCGGUAUUAAUAGUUUGCCACGGGUGACACAUGACUUGUUGCCCUAGUUUCCGCUGACUUUCUAAAGUUGGGCAUAUUGAACACGAAAGGUUGGGCAGCCAUUUAUUGAUUGAACUUCGACAGGUUUCUUGCUUUGCCACCAUGAGUGUUUUGAAAGGGGCAAAAUAGAGAUCGGUUUCUAUAAGUCAUCAAGUGCUUUCAAAUAAUUAGAUUUUCUGGCUUCUCUUCAAUCGGUACAAACUGACAUGACAUAUUUGCAUAAUUGAUGGAGAAGUCGCAGUUCAAGAAAUGCGCUAGAAUGUCAUUUGAGGGUGUAUUCAACAUCCUAGUCAAUUAGCAUUCAGCAAAUAUUGCUUAGAUCAUCAUCGUCGAAACUAAGCAGUUUUGAGCAAUUGCAUUGGCUGCGUUUUUGUUGAAUCAAGGCCAAGACCUUCAAGAGUUGCUCAAUGCUAAUGCGAGUCCAAAAGGAAUAAUUAGGCUGAUGCUAAAAGUGUACGAAAAGAUGCUUAUCAAGUGGCAUCAAAGUAAGCAUGUAUUUGCUAAUAGGACUUUUCCAUUGACCCCGAACCCCCUUGGAAAAUGAUAUUUUGGGACAACACGUUUUUAAAAGUGUAUUCUCGCUUUUUCAAAUCGACAGUACAUUCAUCCUACUUUGAUCGAGAAUAACGGGUUGGUCUUCUUUUUGGAUGAACAACCUUCAGAUCUGCAAUAGCGAGAUCAAUGAAGCAACUGAAAUGGCAAUGAAACUUUUAUGUUUUCGAUGGAUUCUCAGCUUUUAGUGCAUCAUAUUUUGGACAAAGGCGUGGCCAUGUAAAAUUAGAAUUCUCGAUGUGAAAACGAACAAUCGCUCUGUAAAAUAAUUUACAUGUUUCGGUCAUUCCUAAACACGACUCUCAUCCAGCAUUCGAGCCCUUGGUCCUAUUUGCUAAAAAUGGUGACUUUUUAUAGUAAUUUCCAUACUUGUUUCCAACCCAAUGACAUCAUUCGCACGCUUGGUUUUGUCCCAAAUUCUCGUGCAAGUACAUGCCAACAUCCAGUAACAAAAACAAUUGCAAUAGUUUGAUGUGGCGAGCAAGAUUUCGUUCUGCUUCGCUCAUUCGCUCAACAAUUCAUUUGAGUUGCACUCAUAAGCAAUUUGGCUAGAACUCGUAUAUAGAACUUUUUCUUCAAUCUCGUAAGCGAUUUGUCAGAACAUAUCAGCACAUUCUUCGAGGAAGUACAAGUUUAAUUUAGUGUUGAUAAGAGUAAAUCUUCGUUCUUCCCAAAGACUCAAUUCUACCCAACAAAUCUAGACAUGUAUACUCCCAAUCCCGCCUAUUACAGCUCCUUGAACGACCAAGGAGGUUUGCUCAAAUAUGUAUGGAACAAUAUCACUCCCAACGGAGCAGGCUCAAACUCCAACUACAACCACAAAAAUCAGUACAACAAUGGGCAACAACAACAGCGGCAACAACAACCACGACAGGCAGGCGGUCAACAAAACCAAAACAAUCCUCACCAAAAUCUCAGCCGAAGCUCGUUCAGACGUCUCGGCUAGUAUCUGAAGAAUCAUCGGAUGGUUUUUUUACUCCACGAGUUUCUCAACAAGCUUAUCAUUUUAAGACAGAUCACCGCAAUCAUUAUUACCGUAAUUAAUCGUAGCCCUUGUUGCUGUUAUUGCCGCCCUAGAAGAGACUGCAACAGCCAAAUCAACAACACCAACACGACACCAUCAUGCUCUCUCAUUUUGAUCGGAAUGACCAAUAUCAACGCUCCCAAAAAUUGCCCGACAGCUCCUUCAAUCGUCCUCAUUUUGAGGAUGAUGGCGAGAAGCUCUAUGAAGAAGAAAACGACCAACAUGAUCAUUUAGGAAUUUUUGACGAGGAAAAGAAAUUGCAAAAUUUGUAACCUAUGGCAUUAUUAUCAGAUUGAAUCCGACCCAAAUAGAGCUUCUUCUGUUGUA